CGUACGCCAGUAUGUGUGGAGCCGUCCUUGAAAUACCACCCUUGUAGUGUUGAUGUUCUAACGUUGACCCCUUAUCGGGGUUGCGGACAGUGCCUGGUGGGUAGUUUGACUGGGGCGGUCUCCUCCCAAAGAGUAACGGAGGAGCACGAAGGUGGGCUAAUCACGGUUGGACAUCGUGAGGUUAGUGCAAUGGCAUAAGCCCGCUUGACUGCGAGAAUGACAAUUCGAGCAGGUGCGAAAGCAGGUCAUAGUGAUCCGGUGGUUCUGAAUGGAAGGGCCAUCGCUCAACGGAUAAAAGGUACUCCGGGGAUAACAGGCUGAUACCGCCCAAGAGUUCAUAUCGACGGCGGUGUUUGGCACCUCGAUGUCGGCUCAUCACAUCCUGGGGCUGAAGUCGGUCCCAAGGGUAUGGCUGUUCGCCAUUUAAAGUGGUACGCGAGCUGGGUUUAGAACGUCGUGAGACAGUUCGGUCCCUAUCUGCCGUGGGCGUUGGAAGAUUGAAGGGGGCUGCUCCUAGUACGAGAGGACCGGAGUGGACGAACCUCUGGUGUUCGGGUUGUGUCGCCAGACGCAUUGCCCGGUAGCUAAGUUCGGAAUCGAUAACCGCUGAAAGCAUCUAAGCGGGAAGCGAGCCCUGAGAUGAGUCUUCCCUGAUACUUUAAGUAUCCUAAAGGGUUGUCGGAGACUACGACGUUGAUAGGUCAGGUGUGUAAGUGCUGUGAGGCAUUGAGCUAACUGAUACUAAUUGCCCGUGAGGCUUAACCAUACAACACCCAAGGGGUUU
rnacentral:rRNA from 1 species